ensembl:lncRNA
AGUUCAAGGGGGCCAAAUACUUUCGCAAGGCACUGUAACUGUGCUGCUGGCAACAAUUUAAUUAUGCUUUUUGCUGAAAAAUAAACGCAGUUGACAGUGAGAGGAUGUUUCUUUUUUUGCUGAGUUUAUAUGGCAGACCAAUCCAAACUCUCAGCAAGUCCAGCCCACUUAAUAUCCCAGCCAAUCAUGGCUAGCGAGAAGGUUGCUGGCUUUUUCUGUGGCUAAACCAACUAGGUGUCACGACUUCCCCCAAAGUUGGUCCCUCUCCUUGUUCGGGCGGUGUUCGGCGGUCGGCUUCUAGCCAUCUGUCACGCCCUGGUCAAAGUAUUUUGUGUUUAUCUUUAUGUAUUUGGUCAGGCCAGGGUGUGGCAUGGGGUUUUUGUAUUUGUGGUGUGUUUGUCUUGGGGUUUUGGUGGUGGUAUUGGGAUUGUAGCUUAGUGGGUUAUCUAGCAAAGUCUAUGGCUGUCUGGAGUGGUUCUCAAUCAGAGGCAGAUGCUUAUCGUUGUCUCUGAUUGGGAACCAUAUUUAGGCAGCCAUAUUCUUUGAGUUUGUCGUGGGUGAUUGUCCUUAGUGUCCUAUGUGUACUCUCGGUUAUUUGCACUAGAUAGGCUGUUUCGGUUUCGAUUACGUUUAUUGUUUUGUGUAGUGUUCGUGUUUCUUUGUUGUAUUAAACAUGGAUCGCAAUCGACACGCUGCAGUUUGGUCGGACUCUCCUUCAUCACCACUAGAAAACCAUGACACCAUCGCUGAUCCAUUUUUCAUUUUCCAUUGGUUUUGUCUUGUUUUCCAUCACACCUGGUUUCAAUCCCAUCAAUUACAUGUUGUGUAUUUAACCCUCUGUUUCCCCUCAUGUCUUUGUCAGUGAUUGUUUGUUGUGUGUUUUGUGCAAGUCAUGUUCUGGUGUGCGAUGGGUUUUGUACCCUUUUAUAUUAUUUUUGUAUAUAUUGGAGUUUUUCAGAGGUUUUUUUUAGCAUUUAUUAAACUGCUCCGUUUAUACCAAGUUAACUCUCCUGCGCCUGACUUCCCUGCCACCAGCAUGCACUCAUUACACUAGGCUUGUAAUUUCACAAUUGUAUUCGUAUAUACAGAUGGCAUACAAGUUUGGUAUUAAGGCACAUGCAAGUCCACAUGUUCGAGAAGGCAUUUCUGCAAAAAAAAAACCGUUUUGAUAAAUAAAACAUUUUUCCUUUCAAACGCUCUCCUGUGAAGUAGUGACCCGCGACAUACGCAUAGCUUCCUGAAA